UACGGGGGGGGCAAGCGUUGUUCGGAAUUACUGGGCGUAAAGGGCUCGUAGGCGGCCAACUAAGUCAGACGUGAAAUCCCUCGGCUUAACCGGGGAACUGCAUCUGAUACUGGAUGGCUUGAGUUCGGGAGAGGGAUGCGGAAUUCCAGGUGUAGCGGUGAAAUGCGUAGAUAUCAGGAGGAACACCGGCGGCGAAGGCGGCUUCCUGGACCGAUACUGACGCUGAGACGCGAAAGCGUGGGGAGCAAACAGG
rnacentral:rRNA from 1 species